GACGAACGCUGGCGGCGUGCUUAACACAUGCAAGUCGAGCGACGCUCUUCCUUCGGGGAGAUGACGGAGCGGCGAACGGGUGAGUAACACGUGGGCACCCUGCCCCUAGCUCUGGGACAACACCGGGAAACCGGUGCUAAUACCGGAUACGACAUCGAGCGGCAUCUCUCGAUGUGGAAAGUUUUUUCGGCUAGGGAUGGGCCCGCGGCCUAUCAGCUUGUUGGUGGGGUAAUGGCCCACCAAGGCGACGACGGGUAGCCGGCCUGAGAGGGCGACCGGCCACACUGGGACUGAGACACGGACCAGACUCCUACGGGAGGCAGCAGUGGGGAAUAUUGCGCAAUGGGCGAAAGCCUGACGAAGCGACGCCGCGUGAGGGAUGACGGCCUUCGGGUUGUAAACCUCUUUCAGCAGGGACGAAUUCAGACGGUACCUGCAGAAGAAGCACCGGCCAACUACGUG
rnacentral:rRNA from 1 species